rnacentral:rRNA from 1 species
GACAGAGGAUGCAAGCGUUAUCCGGAAUGAUUGGGCGUAAAGCGUCUGUAGGUGGCUUUUCAAGUCCGCCGUCAAAUCCCAGGGCUCAACCCUGGACAGGCGGUGGAAACUGCCAAGCUGGAGUACGGUAGGGGCAGAGGGAAUUUCCGGUGGAGCGGUGAAAUGCGCAGAUAUCAGGAAGAACACCCGUGGCGAAGGCGGCUCUCUGGGACGGUACUGACGCUGAGACGCGAAAGCGUGGGGAGCGAACAGG